rnacentral:rRNA from 1 species
UACGUAGGGUGCGAGCGUUAAUCGGAAUUACUGGGCGUAAAGCGUGCGCAGGCGGUGAUGUAAGUCAGAUGUGAAAUCCCCGGGCUCAACCUGGGAACUGCAUUUGUGACUGCAUCGCUGGAGUGCAGCAGAGGGGGAUGGAAUUCCGCGUGUAGCAGUGAAAUGCGUAGAUAUGCGGAGGAACACCGAUGGCGAAGGCAAUCCCCUGGGCCUGCACUGGCGCUCAUGCACGAAAGCGUGGGGAGCAAACAGG